AGGAGGAGGUGUUGCGUUUCUUUUUUUCCAUCAGUAUAUAUACAAAGUUGUUCAGACUUGCAAAACUUUACAAUCUUUAAGUGUUUUUAAACAUGAAUGUUAGAUUUAAGGAGUUUAAUGUUAGGUUUGCUCGGCUAGAAGUAAUUUGGAAACAGAACCUUGGUGUAUAACUAAUCUGUUGGUAAACCUGGCUAGAUAUCACAUUCACAAAGCACUGAUUAACCUACAGGUCUGUCUUUGGCCUGUGGGAGGAAACUGGAGCAGCAAGAGGAAACCCAUGUGAACACAGGAAGAACAUACAGUACACACUCCAAAGUCCAUGCAGAUCAAAUCCAGAGCCCCAUUCUGCUCAAAUAUUGACAAAAUAUAAAUUAACUCAAUUGCCUAGCCAAAAAUAAGUAGCUUGAAAUACUAAUAAUUCAAUUAAAGAGAGAACUACACGAGCCAGCUUUUUAAAAUUACAAGCACCUACCCUAACAGUGAACUUGGUGUGACCCCAUUAUUUCUGUAUCAUUUAUGUCAUGGCCUUUGUGUGCUCAUCUUUUGUUUUCUCCGAUUUUGCUUUAAAUGUUACAGAUUCACACCUAAUCGAGAGGAGGCGUGGUCUGGGUGUUCCAUUAGAAUGGGAGAGGCUGACCUUCACUAUAUAAGAUCUGCCAAAGCAGCAUGAAACAGCUUUGUGCUCUCACACAGGCUGUUUCCUGUGGUUUGGCUGCCUUGUCUUGGUCAUGGACUGUUUUUUAUAUGUUCAUUGUGGUUUUUGGGUUUGUUUUUUGUUUUGUAGGGAAGUUAGCUUGUUUUAUGUGAAUAGGGGAGUGUGAGUAGUCAGAGAGUCUGAGGAAAACUUGUUUUGGAUAAGUUUGUUUUUUUUGGGUGGGGGGUCCUAUGUUAAGUGUGUUGGAGUAUAUUUGGAUAGAGUAGUAUCCUGUUUGGAGAAAAAUGAAGAAAAAGGCCUGUUUCGUUUGUAAAGCUAUUUUAUGUUGAGGCUUUAGUUAUGUAUAUUAUAACAAACCCGGGGCUUAGGCCAUAACAUGCGGAGUUCGUCCGGGUUACCGAAGUUAGUUUGCUGUGCCGGUUGUUUUGCGUCUUUGUUUUGUUUGUGCAGUUAUGGAAUUUUGAUAUUAAGGGUUUGUUGAUAACCUGCACAAAGGCUGAACCUUUUUUUUUUUUUUGGAAUGCCGUAUAUUUCCAAUCGGGCGUAACCUGUACUGCCCGGAAGGCUGAACUUAAAGCUCAAAUAGUUACUGUACUUCUCUGGUUAAACGUAAAUUACUUGUUUUUGAUCCAUCAUCGCCUGUGUUAAAUUGUCCAGCGACGGUUUUCGAAUGAAACAACUGGAGGUCGAGUUAAUAAUGAAGGCGCUAGAGGUUAGAAACGGAGUUGGAAAUUAACGGUUGGAAACGAAACGGUUGAAGAAAAUGCGCUACGUUUGGAAGAGGUUGCGCUGGAAGCGAGCAAAAUGUGAGCUCCUCCGUCUGCUGGGUUUGGUGUAGGCCGGGAUAUUCGUCUGGUUUUACCGAGAGGUGGAUCGAUAUUUUGCCUACUUGGAGCGUGUAGCUACUUAGCAUGAAUGGGCAAAGCUUGGUCUUUACUCCCAGAGUGUGCUUGGUAGAAUCAGAGACGCUUAUUCCUCUUUAACUAUGGAUCACAGUCCUGGCUGUGAAGUGGUUAUAAAAUACCAUUGAGCGGACAUAUGAGCUGGUUCCUCAAGCUUAUCGGGCAGCGUUUUCGGCGAUGCAAGAGGGGAGACGGCAAGAUGUAUGUAAAAGUUGCACAAGAAAGUGUUCGAUUUAGGUUUCUGGACCUUCACCUUGGGUAUCUGCCGCUGAACAUAACCCACUAGUAGCGUCUCCACCGAAACAGGAAGAAAUUCAAAUCGGAGACUAACGCGAAGGAGUUUUACAAGCGUCUUCUCUUGAUAUCCGACAUGUCCGAGGAGGAGACGAUGUUGGGGCAGGUGCUUUGUCUCGAGUGUGGAGGGGAGGUCUGUCGGACGGUCAGGGGGUCUCCUCGGUCUCGCACAGGGCUUGACUGCUUGUGCUCACUACCGGACGGGCUCGCAGAGGCCUGCGUUUUGUAUGUUAAACUGCUUCCAGUUUAUAUUCCAACAAACUGGUCUUGGGCCGUAACAAGUCUAGUUGCUCCAAAGCAGUUCCCCCCCCCCACAGAGAUCAAGCUUAAACCACUUCUCCACACUAAGGUUUUAAUCCCGUGGGUUAUUGCGGCCCUAUUUAGUCCCCUUUUCACUCAAAGUGCUUAAGUGAAGUGCCCAGGUAGUGGGGAAACGACCCUUGUUUGUCAUUUAAUGCAUCAGACAAUUAAAACUAGGCCAUUCCUAGGCAGGAUGCCGCCGCCUUGCGGCCGCAGGUGGGGAUGCACCAUGCUCUUUCACGCUCUCCUCGUACAGCACAGUCUGCUUGGGUUUCCAAUCCGAGCUCUUUCGUAUCUGGAUCUAACACUGCUGUUACUAACGACACGCAUGAGGUUCCUCUAGUGGAUGAUGUGAAGUGUUGUGCAAGUCCGGUCUGCUGUGCCCCCUCAUUAAAGAUCUGGAAAUUUCG